AAACCUUCUCAGCCUUUUGUCUAAGAUCAAGUGUAUUAUCUGUCCUUGUCAGUUUAAUAUCUGUGAUAACCUCAAUAUGAGGACUUCAUAUUACAUGUUUUUAGAUUUUUAGAACAGGAUGUCUGAAGACGGGUCUGCUCCAUCCACUUCACGCAUUGACCUGGUGUUACGGUGCCUUGAGGAAUGGAACACCUUCU
ensembl:snRNA U2 U2 spliceosomal RNA